rnacentral:rRNA from 1 species
GAUGAACGCUGGCGGCGUGCUUAAUACAUGCAAGUCGAACGAAAAGACUAGGAGCUUGCUCCUUUGACGUUUGCGGCGGACGGGUGAGUAACACGUGGAUAACCCCCCUCUAUUACUGGGAUAACUUCGAGAAACCGGAGAUAAUACCGGAGAAUAUAUUUAACCACAUCGUUCAGUAGAGAAAGACGGUUUUGCUGUCACUUAUCGAUGGAUCCGCGCCGCAUUAGCUAGUUGGUAAGGUAACGGCUUGCCAAGGAAACGAAGGGUGGGCGACCGGAGAGGGGGAUCGGCGACAUGGGAACGGGGACAGGGACAUUAGUACUGAGGGAGGGAGCAGUAGGGAAUGUGCGGCAAUGGGCGAAAGCCUGACGGAGUAAGGGCGCGUGAGAGAUGAAGGCGUUGGGUGCGUAAAACCCGGUUAUGGGGGAAAAACAAAUGUGUAAGUAAAUAUACACGUAGUGACGGUACCUGAUGAGAAAGCCACGGCUAACUACGUG